rnacentral:ncRNA from 1 species
AGUUUUAACGCUGAACCAUCUGAUAAUUCUUGAAUUGUCUGUACUGAUGCUUUCCCAUAGGAUUUUGUACCUAAUAUCGUUGCUCUCUUAUUAUCUUGAAGUGCGCCAGCGACUAUCUCUGAUGCUGAAGCCGAUCCUUCAUUUACUAGCACGAUCAUAGGCAUGCCAUUUGUUAUAUCUUGAGGUGUAGCACUGUACUUUAAUACAGAGUUUAACGACCUUCCUUUUGUUUCAACUAUUUUCCCGUUAGGUAAAAAUAAAUCACUUAUGCCCACAGCAGAGCCCAAGACUCCGCCUGGAUUGUUUCUUA